rnacentral:rRNA from 1 species
UACGUAGGUGGCAAGCGUUGUCCGGAUUUAUUGGGUUUAAAGGGUGCGUAGGUGGUCACUUAAGUCAGUGCUGAAAUAUCCCGGCUUAACCGGGAGGGUGGCAUUGAUACUGAAUGACUUGAGUGGAGUUGAGGUAGGCGGAAUUGACGGUGUAGCGGUGAAAUGCUUAGAUAUCGUCAAGAACACCGAUAGCGAAGGCAGCUUACCAAGCUCUAACUGACACUGAUGCACGAAAGUGUGGGGAUCAAACAGG